rnacentral:lncRNA from 1 species
AUGAAGAAUGAUCCUAACAUCUGGCUUUUAGCUUUAAUAUACAGAGCUGUUAUAACAAUGGAAGGCAUGAUUAAGUUUUUACAAAGAAAUACCCAGGGAGAUCAUGAGACAGGCCCCAUAGGUCAGCUUGGAGGUCCAGCCCCGUAUAUGCUUCUCUUGCACUUCACCUGCAGCCAGCGAAGUCUCAUCAGGGGAUGCAAUUCMGUGAGUUUCCUGAGGUUGCAAAGGCUUUGAAGGCUCCUGUUACAGCCCCUCUGUUUGGAAAGUGCGUACGAGAUGUUUGCCAGAUAGCUACAAAAGACCUGUAUGUAUUUUCUUCUCCUUUUCUAAUCACUGACAUUCAAAUGCUAUUCAGAUAAUAUCUGUAAAAUAUUAACCUGUUAGACAAUGUGUCCUAUGAAAGUAAGUCCUGAUAUGAAGGUAAUUUUUUCGCUGUUAAAUACUGGUGAGAAACAACAUGGUUAAAAAGAAAAAAAGGCCGAAAGAGUGGAGCAAUGUAGCUGGAGUGUCUCCUUUUUAUUUAGAGCCAGCCUGGCUACCUUUGGGCUAUUCAGGACUCUGGCAUUACAGCAGUGAAGCCCUAAUCAAUAUGGAUGAGGGUUUCAUGGUUUUCAUGUAGUGAAAAAUUUAUGUAAGUUUAUCUGGAAGAUUUCUAAAACUAAUAGCAUUUGUCAUAUGAAUAUUAUACAAUUAGCGUCUAUCUGAAAUACCAGCAGUCUGCUAUUCAUUUUCCCAUAAGAGUGGGAACACYAGUGUUAUCUGAGCUCUAAUUACUGGAGGAGGGAGCAAAAUAUCAGUAAUGGGGGCAGAAGCUGGUCUGUCCUAGCCCUGUCUGUCCCGAGCCCGUCGCCAGGUGUUGGGACGUGUUUGCUGCCUGAGAGCCGUUUUAGGGCAUCAGAAACCCCAAACCAAAGAGAUCUACUGAGCAAGAUGUUCUCAGUUUGAAAAUGUGAUGGCAUUUGGUGUAUCACAGACUUAAUUUGCGUUAUCCUUGCAUAUGUGCAGCUUAUCACCAGAAACCAAWUUUUUUGAAGUGGCAAUGCAUCGUGCAAACACUGCGACUGUUGUUUUCUGCCGCCGUUCACACACCUCUUGUCGAUGGCAAAUAGGGAACGAAUUGCAGUCCCAAUGCUCCGUGCUCAGUUGUCCUUCCAGGAAAAAAAAAAAGUCAUUGAAAAUCCAGUUUUCGUAAGUACAGUAGCGCUCCGUAAAAUGGCACGAGCAACUCAAGCCA